GAUUUUAUAGUCCAUUCUUCAGCCUUUUAAUUUUACAGUUAAAGAAGGAAAUGUAGCCGUGGAUGUAGCUCAGGGCCGCCACACCAGCCUGGAAAGCACAAGGUCCUGAGUUUGAUUCCUGGUACAAAGAGAAGGAGGUGGGGGGAGGAAGAGGAGGAGGAAGAGUAGAGGGAGGGGGAGGGGGAGAAGAGGAAGAAGAAAGAAGGGGGAGGGAAAGAAGCAAAUGUAAGGCACAAAAAUGGCAAGAGGAAAGGGCUGGUGAGGACCAAGCUGACGACCGGCCGGCUUGGCUAGCAUUUCCAUGUGUCGAUCCAAUCUCCAUUACUGUUUUAAAACAGGGGGGCCUAGGGAUUUCAUUUAGUUAAUAAUAGUGAUGGUGGGGGGCUCCAAACUACUAAAAAGCAGAAAGAACCCUCAAAAGAACUCAUCAGUAACCAGGCAGGGUGACUCAUGACUGUACUCCCAGCACUCAGAAGGCUGAGGCAGGAGGAUCACUACAAGUUAGAGACCAGCCUGGACUGCGUAGUAAGAUGCUGUUUCCAAAAGUAAACAGAUAAAUGAAAGAAUUCAUGCUUAAGGCAAGGAGAGAGGAUGGUGGGGAAGGAAAGGGGACACAAGUUUAAAAUGUCUGAUGAGGGUGGGGCUGUAAUUAAGUUACCUACGUGCUAAUUAUGAUGAUGACAAUUCUUGGUUCUAUGAGCUUUUAAAAUUUAACCUUUCCCUUCCAGUCCAUACAAUACAAGGAACGAUGCUGCCUCAAGUGUGAUCAUUAUGAGAACCAAAGAAGUUGCCUAAUCCACCUCUUUACCCUUGCCUGGCCCUUGUACUUUUAGCAUGUUCUUUCCUGUUUCUCUGAAGAGGAUUUGCAGUCACUUGGGAAUCCCUUCUGGUCCUGCUUUGCAAACAUUCCUGGAACUCGCAUUCUCCCAAGAGCCUGGAUGUGUGAAUAGGAAUGAGCCGUGGCACCUGUCUCAGAAGAGCUCAUGCAGAAAGAGACAAUUAGAAAUGAGCACCGGCACCGCAGUGCAGCUGGGAGAAUCAGUGAAUCUGAGUAAACACGGACUUGAGUCUGUCUCACCGCCCCUCCAUGCUCCUCCUCUCCUGCUCCCACCGCUGGCUCCGUAUUUACAGGAGCAAAGGAACCCACUGCACCGGCUGCUGAAGUCAUACGAAGAAAGCGGUGGGAGGACAAGCAAGCCCUCGGGCAGUGCCCUCCCUGUGCCUCCCUCCGUUCUGAAAGUUAACUCGUGUUGGAAUCUUGUCACUUGCUCAGGUCGGAUCCUGGAGCUGGAAUGCGCCCUAAAUCACAGGCUCAAGAGAGCGCUAACCCUCAGCUUCACUCUGCAGCUUCCUCGCCCGGGGGCAGGAUUCAGGCUCCUGGUCACAGUCUCGGAGUCACCUUGCAACCAGAUAGACCCAUGUGGCGCUGUGAACCUGCCCACUCCAGGGGGACUUGUCAGGCAGGAAGGGCUGCCUUUGUCAGCUGGCUGCCCCUGAUGUCCAUCCGGAAGUCAUGCACUGAAUUUCCCAGGUGACCAAUUCGUGAAGGACUGCUCGUUAGUCCAGACUGUCCCCAUGGCUCUGCUUUCCCGAGUCCCCCACUUUAGGUGCCCAACACAAUUUAAACCUGACCCUGACCAAGUGAGGAUCUUCACCAACUAGCUGUCUUUUAUCAACUGUUAUUUCCUUCUAGAAAAUUCUCUCACAAAUUUUAGAUAAAUGCCAAAAAUUCUUAUUUGUUUUUACUCUGCUUUUAAGCAGAUAUUGUAUUAACCAUAUUUCCUGUUUCCAGGACAAAAUACCUGGCAUCUGCAACUUAAAAAACAAGAUGUUUGUUCUGGCUCAUGGUUUCAGAGGUUUCAGUCCAUGGUCAGGUGACUCCAAGGCAGAAACAGUACAAGGAAAAGCAUGGAGGACAGUGGCUUGACUCACAGCACCCUGCAAGCAGUGAACAGGGAAAGAGCCUAAAAAGAAGUGAUCGCAACCAAAUAUAGUCCCCAAGGUGACGUCUCCAUGCGUCCACUUCCUAUAACUCAUUGACGAGGUUAAGCCAUUGAUGAGGUGAGUGUCCACAUCAUCCAGUCACCUCAUCUGAAGUUCCUACCUCAUUCAAAUUGACUAUCACAGUAUGCUGUACAUGGGGUUUCCCACACUAGGUCCAGUGCCUGCAGGGACUCCUCCCCAGGAGAACCAGCCGGAGGCUCUUUCUCGUGAUCAUGGGGCAUUUCCAGCCAUGUUAGCCUGAGGAAGAACCCAAGAAUUCAAUCACAGUAAAGGAGUAAAAUAUUUAAUGUUAUUUUAAGCAUUGAUUAUUUUAACAAAUUUCUUUUUCAGAAUUAGAAUAAAAUGCUUUUGAGUAAAAUUUGAAUGUCACUGGCUAGGUAACUUAUAAAGGAUGCAUCAUCCUUGUCCUGCUCACAGUUCUGGAGACCAGGCAUUUCAACAUGGGGAGCACAUCUAAUAAGGGUCUCCUGGCUGAUGGGGGCUCUACACUGUGCUG
ensembl:lincRNA